rnacentral:rRNA from 1 species
GUCGCCCGCACUAACAGUGGAGCAUGUGGAUUAAUUUGAAGCAACGCGAAGAACCUUACCAGGUCUUGACAUCCUCUGACAAUCCUAGAGAUAGGACGUCCCCUUCGGGGGCAGAGUGACAGGUGGUGCAUGGUUGUCGUCAGCUUGUGUCGUGAGAUGUUGGGUUAAGUCCCGCAACGAGCGCAACCCUUGAUCUUAGUUGCCAGCAUUCAGUUGGGCACUCUAAGGUGACUGCCGGUGACAAACCGGAGGAAGGUGGGGAUGACGUCAAAUCAUCAUGCCCCUUAUGACCUGGGCUACACACGUGCUACAAUGGACAGAACAAAGGGCAGCGAAACCGCGAGGUUAAGCCAAUCCCACAAAUCUGUUCUCAGUUUGGAUCGCAGUCUGCAACUUGACUGCGUGAAGCUGGAAUCGCUAGUAAUCGCGGAUCAGCAUGCCGCGGUGAAUACGUUCCCGGGCCUUGUACACACCGCCCGUCACACCACGAGAGUUUGUAACACCCGAAGUCGGUGAGGUAACCUUUUAGGAGCCAGCCGCCGAAGGUGACAGACCGAU